CACCACGGUAACUAAUAAGUAACUUACUAUACUUUAAUACCAGGCUAUCUGAAUUUCUAACUCAGUGAUGGAAGGCUACUGGAUGCAGUCAAGUAUUAAUCAAGUCGGUGUGUGAGUCAAGAUAGAAUUGACCCCUCUGAAUUAGUAGGAGAUAUGCAUCAGUAUAUUUUAAUUCAAUAAAAUCUUGGUCAGGAUAAUCC
rnacentral:lncRNA from 1 species